CCUACGGGAGGCAGCAGUAAGGGAUAUUGGUCAAUGGGGGAAACCCUGAACCAGCAACGCCGCGUGAGGGAAGACGGUUUUCGGAUGGUAAACCUCGGUCCUCGGUGAAGAGGAUGACGGUAGCAGAGGAGGAAGCUCCGGCUAACUACGUGCCAGCAGCCGCGGUAAGACGUAGGGAGCGAGCGUUGUCCGGAUUUACUGGGUGUAAAGGGUGCGUAGGCGGCUUGGCAAGUCAGUAGGGAAAUCCCGGGGCUUAACCCAUGACCUGCUAUUGAAACUGUCGAGCUUGAGUGAAGUAGAGGUAGGCUGCAUUCCCGGUGUAGCGGUGACAUGCGUAGAGAUCG
rnacentral:rRNA from 1 species